rnacentral:lncRNA from 14 species
GAGAAGAAGCCCUGGUCGCGGGGCGACCCACGGCAGCUUCGUUCUGCGUCGCGCCGGGGCGGGGCCUUCCGCCCGCGGUUUCCAUGGCGACGGGCGCGUGACGCGCGUGUCGCGGCCAAUCGGUGGCGAGGCGGCUGAGUGACAGCCUGCGGCACCAGUGGCCAGCGGCGCUUUCGGGAGGCCGCCGAAGCUGUCGGGCGGCCGGAUACGGAGCGGCCGCGGCGGGGCCGGCCUCUUACUACCAGAUGAAGCACAAACCACCAUGUCUGGCAACUGUCUGGGACCAAACCCUGAACACAAGCUUAUGUUCUAAGGCAGAUAAAGGAGUGGAAGGUGUGGGUUGUAUGCUG